rnacentral:rRNA from 1 species
GACGAACGCUGGCGGCGUGCUUAACACAUGCAAGUCGAACGGUAAGGCCCUUCGGGGUACACGAGUGGCGAACGGGUGAGUAACACGUGGGUGAUCUGCCCUGCACUUCGGGCUAAGCCUGGGAAACUGGGUCUAAUACCGGAUAGGACCACUUCCUGCCUGGGUGGUGGUGGAAAGCUUUUGCGGUGUGGGAUGGGCCCGCGGCCUAUCAGCUUGUUGGCGGGGUGAUGGCCUACCAAGGCGACUGCGGGUAGCCGGCCUGAGAGGGUGACCGGCCCCACUGGGACUGAGAUACGGCCCAGACUCCUACGGGAGGCAGAAGUGGGGAAUAUUGCACAAUGGGCGCAAGCCUGAUGCAGCGACGCCGCGUGAGGGAUGACGGCCUUCGGGUUGUAAACCUCUUUCAGCACCGACGAAGCGCAAGUGACGGUAGGUGCAGAAGAAGGACCGGCCAACUACGUGCCAGCCGCCGCAGUAA